rnacentral:rRNA from 1 species
AGAACGAACGCUGGCGGCAGGCUUAACACAUGCAAGUCGAACGCCCCGCAAGGGGAGUGGCAGACGGGUGAGUAACGCGUGGGAAUCUACCCAACCCUACGGAAUAGCUCCGGGAAACUGGAAUUAAUACCGUAUACGCCCUUCGGGGAAAGAUUAUCGGGGAUGGAUGAGCCCGCGUUGGAUUAGCUAGUUGGUGGGGUAAAGGCCUACCAAGGCGACGAUCCAUAGCUGGUCUGAGAGGAUGACCAGCCACAUUGGGACUGAGACACGGCCCAAACUCCUACGGGAGGCAGCAGUGGGGAAUAUUGGACAAUGGGCGCAAGCCUGAUCCAGCCAUGCCGCGUGAGUGAUGAAGGUCUUAGGAUUGUAAAGCUCUUUCAGUGGGGACAUAAUGACGGUACCCACAGAAGAAGCCCCGGCUAACUUCGUGCCAGCAGCCGC